UCAAGGUGUAUAUUUAUGGGUUUUUAUUAUCAAAGUCUUGUAAAACAAUUUCAGAAACUGUACAUAAACAUGGCACAGACUGUAGCCUACUUUUGCUUUUUACCUGCACAAAAGUAUAUGCCCCCAAAACUUCCAGAACUAAAAGAACAGAUUGCCCAUAUACUUUGCAUAACAUAAAAUUACUGUGUCAAAGGUUACUACUUCAGUGACUGCAACACAAAUGCAUUAGUUUAUACAACUUGAGAUCAAAUACAUUAUCAAGUAGACUUGUUUUAAAAUCAUUAUGAAAUUCCAUUUAAAAUGCACUACCCUUUUUUUUUUGCAGGGUUUUAAUACUCAAAAUGAAAUGCAGCUUCUAAAAAACUACACAAGAUUAACUCUCUGUCUCAUCUGCAGAAAUGUUCUUUAUUACCUCAAGAAGUCCAAGUUGUCAAAAAUCAAAUACCCCACCUGAGAAGGAUUGAGACUCAAAGUUUACCUUACACUGGGCAUCAAAAGACUAAUGCAUUUCAACCUUGUCAAAGCCAAA